GGUCAGAGUCGUAUUCGGGUCCCCGAGGCCCGAUGGGGGUCGGAGGUCACCAGAAGACCAUGACGAACAACCCCUUACCGAUUUCCCCUCCUGAAAAGGAGACGUUGACGGCGCGUGCUGAAAGGAUCCUGGGAAUCCCUUUGCUCGACAGCAACACCGAGCUGACAUGUGAGGAGACUGUAACAGUUCCUGACCUGUGUAGUGAGAAUGAACAACAAAAUGAACAGGAAACAUCCCCACUAGCUUACAACAUAACGGAUGUUUUGUGCCUUACCGAAGGGAAACAAAAAGAGAUGGUGACACAGUUACCUGAUGACCCCGCAGAUGAGAGCGAGAGUGAGUUUGUGCAAGAUAUAAAUAUCCCCCAAGAUGUAUUAGACACAGAACAUAAUGAAGAUCCUGAAAUCCUGCGGGAUGGAAAGCCAGAAAUAUCAGACUGCCCUGAUUCAAAAGAGGACGUCAUAGAAGACCGGGAAUCUCAAGAUGUAGAACCUCUGGGAAGCAGUGUGUUACAUGAACAAGUAUUUCAAAAAGACGGUCAGGAAGAGAGCACAGAGGAAAACAAUCUACCCAAUGAAAACAAUGCUUGUUCUUCCACUCCAUCUGACCCCUCCGAUUUACAACCAGAGUCACCUCCUGAUUUCCCAUGUCACAUCCAGCGUAAUUCUCUUUCCUGUGAAUCAGCCACAGAAACAGUUCCUCCUUCCUUGUUCAUCAAUGAUGCCUCAGAAAAUCCAGAAACCUCAACCCAUAGUCCUCAGAGACCAUGUUCAUCGACAUCCAUUGAUGUAUCUCCUCCUCCCUGUGAAUACAUUCUAUUUCCGUUGCCCAUCACGUCCACGCCUGAACACCCUUUCCUGAAUCUCCAUUGUCUCGAUUCAUCGGUUCACCCGGAAGAUUCAUCUUCUGCUAUUGAGGCAUGUGAAAAGGUACACGAGUUGGAUGACAGUUUGCAGCUUACAAAUAAUGACAUCACUGAUAACACAAAUGAGCGCCUCUUUGAAGACGAUACAGGAGAACCAGGGUUCUGUGACGAGAUUGCAGCAUGCCCAAAAGACAGAAUCAAAGAUCUAGUGCAGCCGACAAAAGAAAAUAUCAAGGAAGUUACAGAGCUGGAGGAACAGACUGCCAGUUCUGAAGACAACACCACUGACUUUGAGUCACUAACAGAGGUCAACAGUCUGCAGAAACUCACGAACACAACUGAGCCCCUCUUUGAAUCAUGCAGCCAGGAACAGAGCAACGGAGAAACAGAGGGAACCGGAGAUGAUGCGUGCCCUCAAUCUGUCAUUCAUUGCCUCGAUCCAUCAAUAGUCAUAAAACACACCGUUGACCACCAAUGUUCUCCUUGUGUUUCUGAAAUUAUGCCCUCUCUGUCAGAUGUUUCUGACCUUAACAGUGAGCCAGCUCUGCAAACUGACUUGACUUCCCCAUCUGUUUCAGAAAACAAAGCCCUUCACUCUGAACCCUUUCUAUCUGACAUUUCAGAAAUCUCCCCCUCUGUUUGUUUGGAAUCUAACACACCCCUUCUAUUUCUGUCCUCUGCACCCUUGGAAUACUCUCAUGGUUUCCCCCCUCAUCCAGUAGAAGAGGACACUGUACCACUGGAGCUUCCAAAUACCAUGAAAGACACAGGGGAGUCCCAAUAUCCCAGGUCCCUAUGGGAUGCAGUGAACCGCAUUAGAAAACACACAGCACCUGACUCUGAGAAUGAAGAUGAAGAGGUGAGUGAGCUGUGGGACCCCCAGAACGCAAUCGAACACUUGGCUUCUAUAGAAGAUGAGGGGGAUAUGGAAUCUGAGGACAUAGUGUUUCCUAACACUGAGGGAAUUGGGAAAGCAAUAGUGUCUUCCAUUGAUCACGAUAGUAGCGAUACAGAAGAGGAGCUCGUCCUUGAUGGAACAACGCUACUGGAAGAGCCGGAGGAGGAACCGUUGGAGGAUGCGACAGUAGGACUGAGGCCACAAGAUGGACACCAGGAGGCAGGUCUCCAGGAUGAAGACACAUUGUCCUGCAGCCACAUAAACAGACAAGAUUUGGAGGAAACUGCUGUAAACAGUGCUGAGCAGGUUGAGGAGAAGGAGGACUUUGACAACAACCCUGAACUCGUGAAGGAGCAGGAGACAACAAAUAACAAGAUCCCCUUGGAUGAGGAGGAGAAAGAUAUAUGUGAUGACAAAGUCGAGGAAAGUUUAGUUGAGAAUGAGGAGGGUGGACGAGAUGAGACAGACACAAACCAUGCAUCUGUCUUAUCUCUGCCAUUGGGAUGUGACGAGAUUGCAGAUUGCCCAAAAGAAAGUAUCAAAGAUCUAGUGCAGCCGGCAGAAGGAAAUAGCAAGGAUCUUCCAAUGCUUGAGGAAAGGAUUGCCAUGCUAUCUGUUCCUCCUGUGACUGAUGUAGUACAAGGGGUGACAGAGUGAGGUUUGCUGAUGUGGAUAUGAACUGAACAGUUUGAUUUAAAUGAUAUUAACAAAGUUACUCAUUCAGAACUUUAAAUUAAUUUAUAGAUUGGUUACAUGGUGGAAGUGGUAGAUUGAAAUGCCUUAAUAAUUCAUUCAUUCACUAUUGCUCUAAUUCCGUUGAAUGCUUCCGUUAUUAAUCUUUAAAGAUGUUAUCUGUGCAUUGCCUUUAUCAUUGUUUUUCAUCCAUUCAUGGUUUUGAUGUUGUGAAAAUCAUAAUACAUACUUGAUUCAUGUUUUAAUAUUGAAUCGUUUUUGAUCCAUUUUUAAAGAAAUAAAGAAUUCUCAAAUGCA
ensembl:lncRNA